GGGAUGAUGAGUGAAAUAAAUGAGGGAUUUCAGAACAGGUUAAAAAGCACUAGUGCACAAUGAAAGAUUAUAGGGGUACAUGAAUAAAAUAAUUUUGUUAAUUUAAUGACUGCUGCAAAUCGAAACAUGCGUUUCAACAUUUACAUUGCUAAUUGUAUUUAGACGACCAGGAAUAAUUGUGGUCACAUUAUGAUAGGGAGAUGUCUGUGUACUUGUCUGAAAACAAUAAUUUUUGAGACAAUAACUUUAGUUAUUAUAUGUCUACAUAUUUUCUAUUUUCGCAUUGGUUAAAAGCAUAGGAAAUCCUUUUUGAUACAAUUAGAUAUACAUAUAUAUAAAUAAGGAGAUGCAGUAUUUUUGCCAAUGAGAAAUGAUAUGAUUGCCAAUCAGACAACUGAAAUCAGAGACAAAACCACAAAGAAGUUUACAGCUAUUGGUACUGCCUUCAAAAAUGAGCAAAACCUAGCAAGAUAUAAAAGGGAAUAAAAUGGCAAAUGUGAAUCAGUUUUCACUCAAAGCGUUUGGUAUUCUGUUUCCAAAAUUAUCUAAAAUGUUCCCUACAAUCCUAGGUUGACAAUUAAAAUAUAAAUGUUAUGACCUUUGACCUAAUGAUUUGAUUGUAUGACAUUAAAUCCAAUGUUGACCUGCAUUUCACUACAGGAUCUUAUACCUUGAUAAAUCAUAAUGAUUUAAGUGCAUAUACUUCGGGCUGAAAACGGAUGAAAAAAAUAAUUAUAUAUAAAAAAUAAAUAAAAAAAAACGGUUGCCAUGGUAUCAUACUUUUAGUAAUUUAUCGCUCAUAAAAUGUGACCCACCCCAAUUUGUUUCUUUUUUUCUGAACUUCACUUGCAAUUCUGUUUGAAUAGUUAUUUUCUCGGAAAUC
rnacentral:lncRNA from 1 species